UGCGGGAUCGUCUAAUGGUAGGACGCCUGACUCUGAAUCAGGUAAUCGUGGUUCGAAUCCACGUCCCGCAGCCA
rnacentral:tRNA from 2 species